GAAAAAAAGCCUUUCGCCAGGAGUCAUGAGAGGAGGCAGACAUGACUAUAGGCCUGGAAAAUAUAGCUAGCCAUGUCGCUGGAUGGAGCAAAGUGAGUGAAUUCCAAGCCUGAUCCAGAGAGUGAAGAACACUUGCAAUUAAGCCUUUUUUCUUCUUAAUUCCCUGCUGCUCCCACAAGAGUUUAUUAUCAGAAGCCAACGCUUUUGGACUCAGAAUAGCAGAGAGCUAAGAAGCGUAAGUCUUGCUAAAAGAAUUAGUGGUUGGAAACAGGGUUUCAAUAGCAACGCAGCCUGCCCUCAGACUGUCAUCUGACUGCUUCAACCUCCUGUGUGAACUAUGAGACCACAGGUAUUCAGCACCACACCAGGGACUCAAACAUCUAUUUUUUUAUGCUUUCUUCAUAGAAAGUAGUUUUUAUUGAAAUAAAUUAUGGAUCAAAAUCAA